UACAGAGGGGGCAAGCGUUGUUCGGAAUUACUGGGCGUAAAGGGCGCGUAGGCGGCCGCCUAAGUCAGACGUGAAAUCCCUCGGCUCAACCGGGGAACUGCCUUCGAUACUGGCGAUCUUGAGUCCGGAAGAGGUGAGUGGAACUCCUAGUGUAGAGGUGGAAUUCGUAGAUAUUAGGAAGAACACCAGUGGCGAAGGCGGCUCACUGGUCCGGUACUGACGCUGAGGUGCGAAAGCGUGGGGAGCAAACAGG
rnacentral:rRNA from 1 species